rnacentral:misc_RNA from 1 species
GAUGAAGAACGUAGCGAAAUGCGAUAAGUAGUGUGAAUUGCAGAAUUCAGUGAAUCAUCGAAUCUUUGAAAGCACAUUGCGCCCCUUGGUAUCCCGAGGGGCAUGCCUGUUCGAGCGUCAUUUCACCACUCAAGCCUGGCUUGGUGUUGGGCGACGUCCUCUUUGGGGACGCGCCUCGAAACGCUCGGCGGCGUGGCACCGGCUUUAAGCGUAGCAGAAUCUUUCGCUUUGGAAGUCGGGGCCCCGUCUGCCGGAAGACCUGCUCGCAAGGUUGACCUCGGAUCAGGCAGGGAUACCCGCUGAACUUAAGCAUAUCAAUAAGCGGAGGA